rnacentral:tRNA from 1 species
GGCUUGUGGCUCACUGGUAGAACACUCGCCUAUCAUGUGUCAGGCCCUGGGUUCGAUCCUCAGCACCA